rnacentral:rRNA from 1 species
GCCACCCGAUUCUGUUAGCUGUCUAGAGAGAUAUAUCAGCCACAUGAACUGAGAACGGCCCAGACUCUACGGAGCAGCAGGGGAAUAUUGACAUGGCGAAGCUGAUCAGCUAUGCGCGUGAGUGAUGAGCUAGGGUGUAAGCUCUUUAGAUGGGAGAUAUGACGUACAUCAGAAAAGCCCCGGCUAACUUCGUGCCAGCAGCGCGGUAAUACGAAAGGGGGCAAGCGUUGCUCGGAUUUAUUGGGCGUAAAGGGUGUGUAGGUGGCUUUGUAAGUUAGAUGUGAAAGCGUGGGCUUAACCCGGGAAUUGCAUUUAAGACUGCAGAGCUUGAAGUUUGGAGAGGUAAGCAGAAUUUCCAGUGUAGAGGUGAAAUUCGUAGAUAUUGGAAAGAAUACCGAUGGCGUAGGCAGCUUACUGGCCAAAACUUGACACUGAGGCACGAAAGCGUGGGGAGCAAACAGGAUUAGAUACCCUGGUAGUCCACGCCCUAAACGAUGUGUACUCGCUAUCGGCAUGUUUACAUGUCGGUGGCUAAGCUAACGCGAUAAGUACACCGCCUGGGGAUUACGAUCGCAAGAUUAAAACUCAAAGGAAUUGACGGGGACCCGCACAAGCGGUGGAGCAUGUUGUUUAAUUCGAUGAUACGCGAGGAACCUUACCAGCCCUUGACAUCUAUAUUUUACUUUCUGGAAACAGAUCGUUUCGGUUCGGCCGGGUAUAGACAGGUGUUGCAUGGCCGUCGCCAGCUCGUGUCGUGAGAUGUUGGGUUAAGUCCCGCAACGAGCGCAACCCCUAUUGUUAGUUGCUACCAUUUAGUUGAGCACUCUAACGAGACUGCCGAUGAUAAAUCGGAGGAAGGUGGGGAUGACGUCAGGUCAUCAUGGCCCUUACGGGCUGGGCUACAAACGUGCUACAAUGGCGACUACAAAGGGCUGCAAUACCGCGAGGUGGAGCCAAUCCCAAAAAGUCGUCUCAGUUCAGAUCGCACUCUGCAAUUCGGGUGCGUGAAGUUGGAAUCGCUAGUAAUCGUGGAUCAGCGAUGCCACGGUGAAUACGUUCCCGGGUCUUGUACACACCGCCCGUCAAGUCAUGGAAGUUGGUUUUACCUGAAGAUGGUGGCCUAACCCGCAAGGGGGGGAGCCAGCCACGGUAGAGUCAAUGACCUCCAG